GACAAUGUGGUGGAGUGGUUAACACGUUCGCCUGCUAUGGGUCGCCAAAGUGAGCGGAUGCCUUCGGGCACGCAAGUUCGAAUGUUGCCGUUGUCG